rnacentral:rRNA from 1 species
GAUGAACGCUAGCGGCAGGCCUAAUACAUGCAAGACGAGCGGUAAGUAGUGUAGCAAUACAUUACCUAGAGCGUCGUAAGGGUGCGUAACAAGUAUGCAAUCUGCCCUCAACUGGAGGAUAGCUCCCCGAAAGGGGAAUUAACACUCCAUAGUAUUAUUGGAUGGCAUCAUUUGAUAAUUAAAACUCCGGUGGUUGAGGAUGAGCAUGCUUCUGAUUAGUUAGUUGGUGGUGUAACGGACCACCAAGACGAUGAUAAGUAGGGGAACUGAGAGGUUGAUCCCCCACACUGGCACUGAGAUACGGGCCAGACUCCUACGGGAGGCAGCAGUAGGGAAUAUUGGUCAAUGGAUGCAAGUCUGAACCAGCCAUGCCGCGUGCAGGAAGAAGGCCUUCUGGGUUGUAAACUGCUUUUGCCAGGGGAUAAAAAGCCCAUGCGUGGGAACUUGAAGGUACCUGGUGAAUAAGCCACGGCUAACUACGUGCCAGCCGCCGCCGUAACAC